UGAAUUUGCAAUGUUCUGGAUAGAAAGUUCUGCUCCCCUCUCACCACUCUCCACUCUCUACAAAGAUAAAAGUUAGGGGGUGUGGUUAAUUUUUGUGAAAGCCUGUCAGAAUACAGGACAGCACUGAGAACUUCACUGGAUGAAAAUAACAAGACUCUCACAGAUGAGAAGCCAGACAUCAAAGGACUAGCCAAGAGCCUGGUUGUAUUGUAGAACCCAAGAACCAGGCAGAACUCAUCAUUCACAAUAGACAAGUUGUUGAGGCAACCCAAGUGCCCAUUGACAGAAGAAUGGAUAAAGAAGAUGUGGCAUAUAUACAAUGGCAUAUUACUCAGUCACAAAAAAAGACAAAAUCGUGCCAUUUGCAACAACAUGGAUGGAACUUGAGGGUAUUAUGUUAAGUGAGUCACUACUAAGUACCUGAAUAUGGAAGAAGUGAGAAAGAAAGAGGAAAAGGAGAAGAGGGGAAAAUAAGAUGCUGUCAGAUACGGGCAGGAGAAAUCCUUUAGAGCGCUUUGUGACCACCCAGAAGUAGAAGAAUAAAACUAACGCUAUUAAAAAGCAAUGGAAUCCCUGCCUACUGCUGUUUCUCUGCCUCACAAACCUUUUUUCCCCUUUAAAUGCAACAAUAUAUUAACACUCUGUCAGUUGAAGAGUGCUUUAUAAAUGGUAGAUGCUGUUUCUUGCUUAAACAACUGCUCUGAGUGCCUGAUAGAGCUAUAGGCACACCUGUUUAAAGCUCUGCAAG
rnacentral:lncRNA from 1 species